UCUCAACCAAACACAAAAUCAGAAUUUGUCUUUAAUAUAUAGUAUAGUAGAAGUAUAUUCUCCUCUAUACAUUAUACUAAUGAGAUUGAUUUCCAUACCACAAGUGACUUGAGAAAUUCCAUGACCUGCAUAUACAACAUUGUGGUACAACUUAUGUCAUAAAAACCUUUAUACUAUUAUAUAUUACAUGUUUGGAUUCACGACGAAUUUAGUAAAAUCAC
rnacentral:lncRNA from 1 species